rnacentral:rRNA from 1 species
GAUUAACGCUGGCGGCGUGCAUAACACAUGCGAGUCGAACGAUGAAACUUUAAUGAACCCUUCGGGGAGAAUUAAAGCGGAUUAGUGGCGAACGGGUGAGUAACGCGUGAGUAACCUGCCUUACACAAGGGGAUAGCCUUUGGAAACGAAGAAUAAUACCCUAUAAAACCAUAAAAGCACAUGCAAUUAUGGUCAAAGUGAUAGCGGUGUAAGAUGGACUUGCGUCUGAUUAGCUAGUUGGUGAGAUAAAAGCCCACCAAGGCAACGACCAGUAGCCGGCUUGAGAGAGUGUACGGCCACAUUGGGACUGAGACACGGCCCAGACUCCUACGGGAGGCAGCAGUGGGGAAUUUUGCACAAUGGGGGAAACCCUGAUGCAGCGACGCCGCGUGAUUUAGAAGGCCUUCGGGUUGUAAAAAUCUUUUGUAUAGGAAGAAAAUGACAGUACUAUACGAAUAAGGUCCGGCUAAUUACGUG